GCUUAAAAUCUAGCUCCCCUAAAUCACAUGCAUUUUCUACCCACACCCCUUUAACCAAAACAUUUUAACACUUUAGUAAAGGAGAUUGAAAAACUUUAUGAAGCAAUAAACCUAGUACCGCAAGGGAAAGAUGAAAUAUGAAUGAAAAAUCUUCAAGCAAAAAAAAGUAGAGCCUAACUCUUGUACCUUUUGCAUCAUGGUUCAACUAGUCUAAUCAAGCAAAAAGAAUUAUAGUUUGACCUCCCGAAACUAAGCGAGCUACUUCGGGGCAGCUUAAUGAGCCAACCCGUCUCUGUUGCAAAAGAGUGGGAAGACCCUUAAGUAGAGGUGAUAUACCUACCGAGCUUAGUGAUAGCUGGUUACUCAAGAAAAGGAUUUUAGCCCACCCUAAAGUUUUAUUCUUAUAUUAAAAACCCUUGACUUUAGAGUAAUUCAAAUAAGGUACAGCCUAUUUGAAACAGGAUACAACCUCAUCUGAUGGGUAAACUUUUACCAUGACCCCCCCUAAGUAGGCCUAAAAGCAGCCACCUUUCUAAAAGCGUCACAGCUUAGUCGCCCAAAACUUCUAAUCCCUUGUAUUUAUUUAAACCCUCUAUUUAUAUUGAGUAAUCCUAUAUUUUUAUAGAAAAUUUUAUGUUGAAACUAGUAACAAGAAGGUAAACCUUCUCUUAAAUGUAAAUAUAAAUCAGAAAGGAUAAACCACUGAUAAUUAACGCUUAUGAAUACUCAUUAGUAACUUCUCAAGAAAAACCUAAUUUACUUCACGUUAACCUGACACAAGAACAUUCAAAGAAAGAUUUAAAGAAAGAGAAGGAACUCGGCAAAUAUUAACCCCGCCUGUUUACCAAAAACAUCGCCUCUUGAUCAAAAAUAAGAGGUCCAGCCUGCCCAGUGACAAAUGUUCAACGGCCGCGGUAUCCUAACCGUGCGAAGGUAGCGUAAUCACUUGUUCUUUAAAUGAGGACUAGUAUGAACGGCAUCACGAGGGUUAUGCUGUCUCCUCUCUCUAAUCAGUGAAACUAAUUUUCCCGUGAAGAAGCGGGGAUAGAAUUAUAAGACGAGAAGACCCUAUGGAGCUUUAAAUUUCUUUCUCAGGCACCGGAUUACCUCCCCCCGGUCACUGACCCCUUUUACACACACCCUUAUGCCAUGAUAAUGAAUUUUAGGUUGGGGUGACCGCGGAGUACAAAAAAACCUCCACGCUGAACCAGGUCUCUUAAACCUUGAACAAAGGGCCACAACCCAAAGUACUAAAAAAUUAACAUCCAUUGACCCAAUACUAUUUGAUCAACGAACCAAGUUACCCUAGGGAUAACAGCGCAAUCCACUUCAAGAGUUCUUAUCGACAAGUGGGUUUACGACCUCGAUGUUGGAUCAGGGUAUCCCAGUGGUGCAGCCGCUACUAAUGGUUCGUUUGUUCAACGAUUAAAACCCU
rnacentral:rRNA from 1 species